GGGAAGAUGGCCGAGCGGUUAAGGCGCCACGUUAAGGUUUGGUCUUUAAUCAGCAUCUGAAUCUCAGAUUCCGUGGUUCGAAAGAGCGUGGGUUCGAUUCCCACUCUUCUCA